AUCCCCGUGAGAAUGCCCCACAGUUCCCCAUCCGGGAACAAGGAGCCGGUAUCAGGCACAUCACAUAUAUCUUGCCCAUGACACCUUGCUUAGCCACACCCCCAAGGGAGCGCAGCAGUGAUAAACAUUAAGCCAUGAGUGAAAACUUGACUUAGUCAAAGCUAAGAGAGCCGGUAAAACUCGUGCCAGCUACCGCGGUUAUACGAGAGGCUCAAGUUGAUAGACCCCGGCGUAAAGAGUGGUUAAGAUUAGACCGGACACUAAAGCCGAACAACCUCAAUGCUGUUAUACGCAUCCGAAGGUCGGAAGUACAACUACGAAAGUGGCUUUAACUACCUGAACCCACGAAAGCCAAGACACAAACUGGGAUUAGAUACCCCACUAUGCUUUGCCCUAAACAUUGAUAGUACACUACACCCACUAUCCGCCCGGGAACUACGAGCACCAGCUUAAAACCCAAAGGACUUGGCGGUGCUUUAGAUCCACCUAGAGGAGCCUGUUCUAGAACCGAUAACCCCCGUUCAACCUCACCUUUCCUUGUUUUUUCCGCCUAUAUACCGCCGCCGUCAGCCUACCCUGUGAAGGCCCAGCAGUGAGCAAAAUCAGUACAACUCAAAACGUCAGGUCGAGGUGUAGCGCAUGGAAAGGGAAGAAAUGGGCUACAUUCCCUCAGCAUCAGGGAACACGAAAAAUGUGCUGAAACGUACAUUCAAAGGAGGAUUUAGCAGUAAGAAGAAAAUAGAGUGUUCUCCUGAAACAGGCUCUGAAGCGCGCACACACCGCCCGUCACUCUCCCCAAGCCCACCCACCAACAAUAACUAAUACCUACAAACAGCUAAGGGGAGGCAAGUCGUAACAUGGUAAGUGUACCGGAAGGUGCACUUGGAAAAACU
rnacentral:ncRNA from 1 species